rnacentral:misc_RNA from 1 species
CAGAUUUAACAUCAGUAAUGGACAGCUCAUAGAUGACUCGCAAUAUUUGAUUACAAUAGUAAAUGUACAUGUACAUUUAGGCACUCCUAACCUAAAAUAUUAUGACAGCUCCACUUUAAGAAACAUGGGUGUCUGUGCUGACCGUUUUUUAUCCGAAAUCAAGUCGUACAAAAAAUACGAAUAGAAGGAAAAGGUUGAAGGGGAAUGCCGUACCAGAACCAUCAAAAUAUUUAUUAAAAAAUAAAGAAGAAAAGGAAGAUAUACAAGAACGACAGCUCGUAAAAUUGAUGAGAAAAUAAGAAAGGCAAGACGAAAAAGACGAAGACUACUAUCAACAACAGCAAGCGAAUGUGGUUUAUUGGUAUAAAGGCGCAUCCGAAGGAGAGCUUUCCGUUAAAGCUGAGGAAGAUUCGCGCCCGAGAAAACAUCAAGAAAGAAGAGUUCAUGUCUUAAGAAUUAAGAGAAAGGGCGAAGAGCAGUUGGAAUUUCCUCGAUGGCAAAAAUUUAUUUAUUUUCUUUGUUUUUUGUUAACAAAUUAUUAUAUUCUGACAUUUUGUACUAUUUCUAACUUCUGUUGGGCUUUAUAUGUGUUAUUAUUCAAAAAUAUAGUAAACAAUUUAUUUUUCUUUUUCAGACAACUUACAAUUUUGUCCUUCUCCUAUUUGUCUAUCUCGUAUAGAAAAGUAGAUAUAAACUUUUUCGUAAAACCGAUAAUUAAAUAGAUUUUUUCAGCGUGGCACUCAAUAGGUUCUUGGCUAUGUAGUGUAUAAUCAAACAGAUCAGAUCUCAAACUUUAAGCUUAAAUACAUAUGUUCAUGCAUAUGCUAAUUUGCAAUCAAACAGGGAAGAUCUUUAAUUUUAUAGGUUCUUGUAUAUGCUAAUUUCAAUUAAACUCAGAAUUUGGUCACAUGCUGCAGCACUUGUACUGUAAAACAACUAGAACUACGUGCGCAAGUAAUCUUUUCUCUUUGUUACAUAUUAUAUCAGCGAUGCAUUAACUUAAUUAUAUUGCUAUUGGGCAAAUUUUUUGUAUGCCUCACACGAUUGGUUCUCAAUUGUCAUACAUUGAUUGACUCACUGGAUCUCUGAUUGGCUGCAUUCAAACAAAUUCAAAUUUAAAUAUGGAGAUAUACAGAUGAAGUGCGUGAAAAAACGGAGAAAGCAGUUUAGAAAUAAAAAGAUGCUACAUGGAGAAGUAAAGCGUUGUUCCGUUCUUUCUGUAUUAGCAUCGCGAUUAUUCUGAUUUUGUGUAUACGAUAAUAAAUUAGGUAAUAUAAUUUAAAGUAAACAAAUAAUUAAUAAAUGUGUAACUACGAGUGACUUAAUUGUGUUCUUUUGCACAACGAGAUUUGUUUGCCAGAUACUUGUUUAUAUCGCUCGUUAUAUUUUCAAUUUUAUGUGACGCACUAUUGAAGUAACUACGUUUGUUUUAUUGUUUUGAAUAAAAUGUGAUUUGGGUCACCAUGAACAGUAAAAGGGGGCAUGUCUAAUAAUAGAUAUUGUAGUUUGAAUACUGGAAAUAUUGAUCUUGCAUAUAUGGAUAUUGGUUAAAUAUUCUGAAGUAUGUAGUUUCUUUUUGUUAUUGCAUUAAUCCAAAUAAUUGAUCUUCAUGUUUAGAUAGAAUCAUGCUAGCCAAAACCAAAAAUUAAUUUAUCAAAAGUAACUAGCAGCACAGUAAAUAUUGCAUUGGAAAGAAUAAUCAAAAAAUGAUAUGAAUUAAU